GAAGUUCCUCAAGCAGUUGCGUUUUAUAUUUAAGAUGCCAAGCAAUUGGUGAGAAAUAUCAAAUGAGGAAAGUCCGGGCACCAUAGGGCUGGUUGCUUCGUAAUGCGAAGUGCAUGUGAAUGUGAGGAAAGUGCCACAGAAAAGUAGACCGCCCACCCAUUAUGGGCGAGGUAAGGGUGCAACGGUGAGGUAAGAGCUCACCAGGUUUACAGGUGACUGUAAAUCUAGGUAAACCCCACUGAAGGUGCAAGGCUAAAGCAUAGGAUUGAAUAACAGUGGCCCGCUGCUCAAUUCUGCUCACGCCGCUUGAGGGUAUUGGAGACAAUACUCCCAGAUAGAUAGCUGCAUAAACAGAACCCGGCUUAUGAGGAACUUCCGUA
rnacentral:RNase_P_RNA from 1 species